GUUGAGAGGAGUGUUGUCUGGCUCGAGGUCAUUGAGGUGUUGAUUAUUAUAUAUACAUUUGUAUGUAUAUUCGUGUAUGUAUAUAUAUGUAUUUCUCUGUAUAUCUUGUGAUUUUUCUCCCGGAGGGAAAUUAUAUAUAUAUAUAUAUAUAUAUAUAUAUAUAUAUAUAUAUAUAUAUAUAUAUAUAUAUAGUUAACCAUGGUCAAUGACUCUCGGACCAGGCUUCAUUCCCCUCAAC
rnacentral:pre_miRNA from 1 species